GGGGAAUUUUGGACAAUGGGGCCAACCUGAUCCAGGCCUGCCGGGGGGGUGAAGAAGGCCGUCGGGGUGUUAAAGCCCUUCGGACGGGAAGAAAAUGCCGGCCCCAAACUAGGCCGGGGAAGAAGGUAACCUAAGAAGAAGCACCGGCUAACUACGUGCCAGCAGCCGCGGUAAUACGUAGGGUGCGAGCGUUAAUCGGAAUUACUGGGCGUAAAGCGUGCGCAGGCGGUUUGGUAAGACAGGUGUGAAAUCCCCGGGCUUAACCUGGGAACUGCGCUUGUGACUGCCAGGCUAGAGUACGGCAGAGGGGGGUGGAAUUCCACGUGUAGCAGUGAAAUGCGUAGAGAUGUGGAGGAACACCGAUGGCGAAGGCAGCCCCCUGGGCCUGUACUGACGCUCAUGCACGAAAGCGUGGGGAGCAAACA
rnacentral:rRNA from 1 species